AACGUAGGGGACAAGCGUUAUCCGGAUUUACUGGGCGUAAAGCGCCCGUAGGCGGCUUGAUAAGUUGGACGUGAAAGCUCCCGGCUUAACUGGGAGAGGCCGUUCAAAACUGACAGGCGAGAGUGAGGAAGAGGAGAGCGGAAUUCCCGGUGUAGUGGUGGAAUGCGUAGAUAUCGGGAGGAACACCAGUGGCGAAAGCGGCUCUCUGGUCCUAAACUGACGCUGAGGGGCGAAAGCGUGGGGAGCGAACGGG
rnacentral:rRNA from 1 species